UUACAUACCUGGGCUGUCCUUGAAUGACUUGGUGUAGUUGAGGGUGGAGACCUGCCCAUUGCACUGUGGGCAGGCCCCCUUGUGAGAGUCUGCAAAUGCCUCCCAAUGGGAGGAUCUUGGCUACACAAUUUAUGGUGCUGGGGGAUUGCUUUUGUGCUCUUCCUGA